UGGGGAAUCUUAGACAAUGGGCGCAAGCCUGAUCUAGCCAUGCCGCGUGUGUGAUGAAGGCCUUAGGGUCGUAAAGCACUUUCGCUAGGGAUGAUAAUGACAGUACCUAGUAAAGAAACCCCGGCUAACUCCGUGCCAGCAGCCGCGGUAAUACGGAGGGGGUUAGCGUUGUUCGGAAUUACUGGGCGUAAAGCGUACGUAGGCGGAUCAGAAAGUAUGGGGUGAAAUCCCGAGGCUCAACCUCGGAACUGCCUCAUAAACUCCUGGUCUUGAGUUCGAGAGAGGUGAGUGGAAUUCCAAGUGUAGAGGUGAAAUUCGUAGAUAUUUGGAGGAACACCAGUGGCGAAGGCGGCUCACUGGCUCGAUACUGACGCUGAGGUACGAAAGUGUGGGGAGCAAACAGGAUUAGAUACCCUGGUAGUCCACACCGUAAACGAUGAAUGCCAGUCGUCGGGUAGCAUGCUAUUCGGUGACACACCUAACGGAUUAAGCAUUCCGCCUGGGGAGUACGGUCGCAAGAUUAAAC
rnacentral:rRNA from 1 species